AGUGAACGCUGGCGGUAGGCCUAACACAUGCGAGUCGAACGGCAGCACAGGAGAGCUUGCUCUCUGGGUGGCGAGUGGCGGACGGGUGAGGAAUACAUCGGAAUCUACUCUGUCGUGGGGGAUAACGUAGGGAAACUUACGCUAAUACCGCAUACGACCUACGGGUGAAAGCAGGGGAUCUUCGGACCUUGCGCGAUUGAAUGAGCCGAUGUCGGAUUAGCUAGUUGGCGGGGUAAAGGCCCACCAAGGCGACGAUCCGUAGCUGGUCUGAGAGGAUGAUCAGCCACACUGGAACUGAGACACGGUCCAGACUUCUACGGGAGGCAGCAGUGGGGAAUAUUGGACAAUGGGCGCAAGCCUGAUCCAGCCAUACCGCGUGGGUGAAGAAGGCCUUCGGGUUGUAAAGCCCUUUUGUUGGGAAAAAAUCCAGCUGGCUAAUACCCGGUUGGGAUGACGGUACCCAAAGAAUAAGCACCGGCUAACUUCGUGCCAGCAGCCGCAGUAA
rnacentral:rRNA from 1 species